rnacentral:lncRNA from 1 species
AGUGUCUCGUUAGACUUUUUAUCUCUUAGAAGUAUCUGUUUCCCUUACCCUUCGGGGUAUCUGUUUCCCCCUCCCCUAUCUUGUUUGGAAAGACAUAAGAGAACCGCUCCUAGUGGAUGAUGACAUGCCUUCUGACAAGAAUGGUAUCACACUAUCUAUAGGGGUAACCCAUGCCUAAGUAAUGUCGUGACAUAGAUAUCUGUUAGGACUACUAUAGUCGGUACGACGAUGAUCAUACAUCGUACCAUGGUUUGGCCAGCUGGAAGUGGGUCUGAGUAGAUUGCU